CAGAGGUUUUGUAACUCUCUUUACUAUUGAUUACAAAACAAAUUGUCAAUUUUUUCUACCGGUGCAGGCAAGACAGUGUGAAGGUAGGUAACCAAACAGGCAUGGCUCAUACCUGCAUUCACUGAUUCCGCAAGAGGCUCCGACUGCACUGCGGGACUUCAAGGAGAUCUACCCUGUGUUUGUAUUGGACCCCUAUGACAACGUUGGUAUCAACCGAUGGAGGUUCCUCAUCAGAGCCCUUAAAAACUUGUAUUGCAGCCUGAGGAAACUCAAUUCUAGGAUCAUUGAAGAGAACAACGGGAAGGCUCCUCUGACCUACAAUCGGCUGCAGACCCUUGUCAAUAGUAUCGGUCCUCCCAAAAGGCCUAUCCCUGCUCCAUGUGAAUAUAUUUACUGUGUCCUGAUUCUCUGCCUUUUAUGACCUAAGUGUGCACUUGUUCACUUCCCUUCAUGGAUUUAAAAGGUGUAAGAAAUAUGGUGGAAACUUCCUCUAGCCCAUGCUUAGGCCAACACCAAUCCCAGCGCUUUUAACUUUGUGAGGAAGAGUGCACGAGGAAGAGUGCAUGGGUUGAAAAUGGCAGAUUUGGGCACUGAUAAGUGCCUAAAUUGGAACGCAGUACCCUGGGUAACAUGCUAUAAAUGACAGGUGCAGUACCUCGCUUUAUUAGCUGGGUGAUCUGCCAUAUGACAAUGACUUCAAAUGAAAUCCCAAGUUAAAAACCUUAGGAAAUGAUGGCACUCCCCCAUAACAUUGUUAAGACAAAGACGUCACCUCAUAUCAUAAAACUCAUGUCAUGUACAGUGUCAACGUUUAUGAUCAC